rnacentral:rRNA from 1 species
UACGUAGGGUGCGAGCGUUAAUCGGAAUUACUGGGCGUAAAGCGUGCGCAGGCGGUUCGUUGUGUCGGCGGUGAAAGCCCCGGGCUCAACCUGGGAAUGGCCGUUGAAACUGGCGAACUGGAGUGUGGCAGAGGGGGGUGGAAUUCCGCGUGUAGCAGUGAAAUGCGUAGAGAUGCGGAGGAGCACCGAUGGCGAAGGCAGCCCCCUGGGCUAACACUGACGCUCAGGCACGAAAGCGUGGGGAGCAAACAGG